CAUUGAAGCACUGGUUCCUGUAUGUUCACCAAAGUUAAGCAAGUUGAGGUCUGCUCAGUACCUAGAUGGGUGACCGCUUGGGAAUACUGUGU